GAAUUCGAUUAACGCGAAGAACCUUACCAGCCCUUGACAUCCCGGUCGCGGGAACGAGAGAUCGAUCCCUUCAGUUCGGCUGGACCGGAGACAGGUGCUGCAUGGCUGUCGUCAGCUCGUGUCGUGAGAUGUUGGGUUAAGUCCCGCAACGAGCGCAACCCUCGCCCUUAGUUGCCAUCAUUUAGUUGGGCACUCUAAGGGGACUGCCGGUGAUAAGCCGCGAGGAAGGUGGGGAUGACGUCAAGUCCUCAUGCCCUUACGGGCUGGGCUACACACGUGCUACAGUGGCGGUGACAGUGGGAUGCAAUGGAGUAAUCCUGCGCAAAUCUCAAAAAGCCGUCUCAGUUCGGAUUGUGCUCUGCAACUCGAGCACAUGAAGUCGGAAUCGCUAGUAAUCGCAGAUCAGCACGCUGCGGUGAAUACGUUCCCGGGCCUUGUCACACCGAAUCACUA
rnacentral:rRNA from 1 species